rnacentral:rRNA from 2 species
UUGAUCCUGGCUCAGAUUGAACGCUGGCGGCAGGCCUAACACAUGCAAGUCGAGCGGUAGAGAAGGAGCUUGCUUCUUCUUGAGAGCGGCGGACGGGUGAGUAAUGCCUAGGAAUCUGCCUGGUAGUGGGGGACAACGUUUCGAAAGGAACGCUAAUACCGCAUACGUCCUACGGGAGAAAGUGGGGGAUCUUCGGACCUCACGCUAUCAGAUGAGCCUAGGUCGGAUUAGCUUGUAGGUGAGGUAAUGGCUCACCUAGGCAACGAUCCGUAACUGGUCUGAGAGGAUGAUCAGUCACACUGGAACUGAGACACGGUCCAGACUCCUACGGGAGGCAGCAGUGGGGAAUAUUGGACAAUGGGCGAAAGCCUGAUCCAGCCAUGCCGCGUGUGUGAAGAAGGUCUUCGGAUUGUAAAGCACUUUAAGUUGGGAGGAAGGGUUGUAGCUUAAUACGCUGCAACUUUGACGUUACCAACAGAAUAAGCACCGGCUAACUCUGUGCCAGCAG